AGCUCCAAUAGCGUAUAUUAAUGUUGUUGCAGUUAAAAAGCUCGUAGUUGAAUUUCUGGGUAGUGCGCCCUGUCCGCCUAUGGUGUGCACAGGGAACGGCGCUACUCAUCCUUCUGAAGAACCCAUCAGUCAUUCAUUUGUCUGGUGGUGGUGGAUCAGAUACUUUACUUUGAAAAAAUUAGAGUGUUUCAAGCAGGCAAUCGCUGGAAUACAUUAGCAUGGAAUAAUAGAAUAGGAUUUUGGUACUAUUUGUUGGUUUUUAGGACCAAAGUAAUGAUUAAUAGGGAUAGUUGGGGGCAUUAGUAUUUAAUUGUCAGAGGUGAAAUUCUUGGAUUUGUUAAAGACUAACUUAUGCGAAAGCAUUUGCCAAGGAUGUUUUCAUUAAUCAAGAACGAAAGUA
rnacentral:rRNA from 1 species